GAUGAAGCGAGGAGGUGAAUAUGAUGAGGUCUACCGCAAAAUCGUUCUACCAGCGCUACUUUUCUGCGACGCAGGAAGCGUCCUGGCUGGCCCGCCUGAUGGCAGGACGACAGCAGGAAAUCCUGGGCGAACUGAUGCAGUGGGGAGUGACGUCAAAGACCUUUGAUCAUUGACUUGCAGACAUCAUGUGUGACUGAGUAUUGGUGUUAUACUCGUCGUUUUUCAAGCUGCAGGUGCGCGUGCUUGCCCGGGUCUAUCGCUGUCGAUGCUCCCAGAGCCCUAUGUUCUGGCCGCGUGAAUCGCCCCUACGGGACUCACCCUUUCGGAGCCAGCGUAAGCGCUGCGCAAAACGGUUAACCGUGUGUCCUGCAACGUGAAAUCCACAGAGUAUAGAAUCACCCGCCAGCAGAAAGCCUCUGCUGGCUUUUUUC
rnacentral:sRNA from 1 species